ACACCAGAACCCUCCCACUGGGACAAGGCAGCAACCUUCACAACAGGACAACGACAGAAACCUCAGAGGACAACAGGACCCCCUGGGAAAAGAGACUGCAUUUUAGGGGGAUGCAGUGGUGACCCAAGGAGACCUGCUUCAGCUUCCAAAAGCACCGGAAUGGCAAGAACAGAAGAAAGUUGAGGAGGGAAUGGUGAUGCCCUCUGUCUUCGGGAAAGAAGAUAGUCCUUGAGGCUGAAAAUACCUCCCAGAAGCUGCAUCAAAAUCUAGACAGAUGGCAGAAUGCAGAACCUGCAUUGCAUUUAGGAUUGAUUACAAAA